CCUACGGGAGACAGCAGUAGGGAAUCUUCCACAAUGGGCGAAAGCCUGAUGGAGCAACGCCGCGUGGGUGAAGAAGGUCUUCGGAUCGUAAAACCCUGUUGUUAGAGAAGAAAGUGCGUGAGAGUAACUGUUCACGUUUCGACGGUAUCUAACCAGAAAGCCCCGGCUAACUACGUGCCAGCAGCCGCGGUAAUACGUAGGUGGCAAGCGUUAUCCGGAUUUAUUGGGCGUAAAGGGGACGCAGGCGGUCUUUUAAGUCUGAUGUGAAAGCCUUCGGCUUAACCGGAGUAGUGCAUUGGAAACUGGGAGACUUGAGUGGAGAAGAGGAGAGUGGAACGCCAUGUGUAGCGGUGAAAUGCGUAGAUAUAUGGAAGAACACCAGUGGCGAAAGCGGCUCUCUGGGCUGUAACUGACGCUGAGGUUCGAAAGCGUGGGUAGCAAACAGGAUUAGAUACCCUGGUAGUC
rnacentral:rRNA from 1 species